AUUGAACGCUGGCGGCAGGCCUAACACAUGCAAGUCGAGCGGAUGAAGGGAGCUUGCUCCUGGAUUCAGCGGCGGACGGGUGAGUAAUGCCUAGGAAUCUGCCUGGUAGUGGGGGAUAACGUCCGGAAACGGGCGCUAAUACCGCAUACGUCCUGAGGGAGAAAGUGGGGGAUCUUCGGACCUCACGCUAUCAGAUGAGCCUAGGUCGGAUUAGCUAGUUGGUGGGGUAAAGGCCUACCAAGGCGACGAUCCGUAACUGGUCUGAGAGGAUGAUCGGUCACACUGGAACUGAGACACGGUCCAGACUCCUACGGGAGGCAGCAGUGGGGAAUAUUGGACAAUGGGCGAAAGCCUGAUCCAGCCAUGCCGCGUGUGUGAAGAAGGUCUUCGGAUUGUAAAGCACUUUAAGUUGGGGGGAAGGGCAGUAAGUUAAUACCUUGCUGUUUUGACGUUACCAACAGAAUAAGCACCGGCUAACUUCGUG
rnacentral:rRNA from 1 species